GAAUAUUGGACAAUGGGGGGAACCCUGAUCCAGCCAUGCCGCGUGUGUGAAGAAGGCCUUUUGGUUGUAAAGCACUUUAAGCGAGGAGGAGGCUACUCUAGUUAAUACCUAGAGAUAGUGGACGUUACUCGCAGAAUAAGCACCGGCUAACUCUGUGCCAGCAGCCGCGGUAAUACAGAGGGUGCAAGCGGUAAUCGGAUUUACUGGGCGGAAAACGCGCGUAAGUGGCCAAAUAAAGCAAAUUUGAAAACCCCGGGGUUAACGUGGGAAAUUGAUUCGAUACUGGGUGGCUAGAGUAGUGGAGAGGAUGGUAGAAUUCCAAGUGGAGCGGUGAAAUGCGUAGAGAUCUGGAGGAAUACCGAUGGCGAAGGCAGCCAUCUUGCCUAAUACUGACACUGGGGUGCGAAAGCAUGGGGAGCAAAC
rnacentral:rRNA from 1 species